rnacentral:rRNA from 1 species
UACGUAGGCAGCGAGCGUUGUUCGGAAUUACUGGGCGUAAAGAGUGUGUAGGCGGUGCUCUAAGUUCGGUGUGAAAUCUCCCGGCUUAACUGGGAGGGUGCGCCGGAAACUGGAGUGCUCGAACGUGGGAGAGGAAAGCGGAAUUCCUGGUGUAGCGGUGAAAUGCGUAGAUAUCAGGAGGAACACCUGCGGUGUAGACGGCUUUCUGGACCAUUUCUGACGCUGAGACACGAAAGCGUGGGUAGCAAACAGG